rnacentral:rRNA from 1 species
GAUGAACGCUGGCGGCGUGCCUAAUACAUGCAAGUCGAGCGAACAGACGAGGAGCUUGCUCCUCUGACGUUAGCGGCGGACGGGUGAGUAACACGUGGAUACCCUACCUAUAAGACUGGUAUAACUUCGGGAAACCGGCGCUAAUACCGGAUAAUAUAUUGAACCGCAUGGUGCAAUAGUGAAAGACGGUUUUGCUGGCACUAAUAGCUGGAUCCGCGCCGCAUUAGCUAGUUGGUAAGGUAACGGCUUACCAAGGCUACGAUGCGUAGGCGAACUGAGAGGGUGAUCGGCCACACUGGAACUGAGACACGGUCCAGACUCCUACGGGAGGCAGCAGUAGGGAAUCUUCCGCAAUGGGCGAAAGCCUGACGGAGCAACGCCACGUGAGUGAUGAAGGUCUUCGGAUCGUAAAACUCUGUUAUUAGGGAAGAACAAAUGUGUAAGUAACUAUGCACGUCUUGACGGUACCUAAUCAGAAAGCCACGGCUAACUACGUG